UUAGAUAUCUCGACUUGAUUAAGUAAAUUACCUAUUGGCUUUAUAGAUGGAUCAAUGAACUCUUCACUGUUUUCAUUGAGGCCGAUUCCAUGGAGAUUGAAUCUCAUGGAAUAAAGCCUAUGAUUCAUUAUCGUGAACCCUAAAAACUGAUUUCUAGCUUCUGUUUUACAUAAAAUCCGGUUCUUGGAAAGAACGUUCCAUAGUUUGCAACUAGAUCUCACUGCUUUAAGAGAAGUUAUCGGAACCCUACACAAUAUCUCUUCGACUAAAUCAAGUGAAAGGUCGGACAUCAUCGUCAUUGUUUGCAAAUAGAAAAUUAGGGUUAACUUUCACGCCCACCACUCUUUUUUACGAGGAUUAUAUGUGCAUCAGAAAGAAGACACACCUUCCUCACUAGGGUUUUACUUUUUCUAUACAAAAAAAAAUUCUUACUUUCAUAAGAUAAAUAAAUAUGUGGUUUAUUUUGCAACAAAAA
rnacentral:sRNA from 1 species